UGGCGGAUAGUGUAAUGGUAGCACAACGGCUUUUGGAGCCGUUUGUGGUGGUUCGAGCCCACCUCCGCCAGCCA
rnacentral:tRNA from 1 species